rnacentral:lncRNA from 1 species
AUAAAAGAAAAUUAAUUUUGCUGCUAUCUUAAAUUACAUAAAAUUUAUCGGAUUGUCAGCGUUAACCAUUAAUAAUCCUAAAAACUCGACCAGUUAGAAGAAAUACGCAACUAAUAAUUCACUUAAAGCGUACAGAUGCAGUGUCCACAGGUCUCGAUUGUGACUCGACCCAAUAUGAGCUCCCGUCACAGAGCCUUAUGCCAUUUCGAACAUAACUUGGCACAACAUGGCCUCACGUUACAGUUACUCAAUUGUGACUCGGCCCGAUAUGGGCUCCUGUUACAGGAGCGGAUGUUGGCCCAUUUAAGCUAACAAUCCCUUCUCCAAUAUCUAGACACAUUUGCAACGUGUGGGAAUCGAACCGGUGACCUUUGGCUCUAAUACCACUUGUCGGAUCGUUAGCGCUAACCAUUAAUCCCAAAAGCUCGAGUUGUUAGAAAUACGUAAUCAAUUAACUUAAAGCGUACAGAUACAGUACGUACGGAUCUCGAUUGUGACUCGGCCCAACCAGCUUUAUGCAUUUCGAACAUAACUCCACCCACCCAGUCUCACGCCAUUUCGAAUAUGACUUGGUCCAACAUGGCCUUUCGUCAUAGGUAGGAUACUGGCCUAUUUAAACCAACAAAAUUAGCGUUUAAAAAAUAACUAAAAAUUAAUAACCAUACUAAACG